AUGAUCCUUCCGUAGGGGAACCUGCGGAAGGAUCAUUAAAGAUUGACCGAAAGGUCUUAUCUCUAUAUCCCUCACCUCUGUGAACUGUGGACCUCCGGGUCUGUCUUAACAAACAUCAGUGUAAUGAACGUAUAUAUCAUUAAACAAAACAAAACUUUCAACAACGGAUCUCUUGGCUCUCGCAUCGAUGAAGAACGCAGCGAAAUGCGAUAAGUAAUGUGAAUUGCAGAAUUCAGUGAAUCAUCGAAUCUUUGAACGCACCUUGCGCCUUUUGGUAUUCCGAAAGGCAUGCCUGUUUGAGUGUCAUGAAAUCUCAAUCCCCCCGGGUUUAUGAUCUGGGUCGGACUUGGACAUGGGCGUCUGCCGGUCACACGGCUCGCCUCAAAUGACUUAGUGGAUCUCUCUGCAUCCGUGACAGACGUAAUAAGUUUCGUCUUGUCCCUUGCUAAUGAGUCUGCUCAUAACCUGCCAUCGCGCACUUUUAGACUCUGACCUCAAAUCAGGUAGGACUACCCGCUGAACUUAAGCAUAUCAAUAAGCGGAGGAA
rnacentral:rRNA from 1 species